rnacentral:rRNA from 1 species
AGAGUUUGAUCAUGGCUCAGAUUGAACGCUGGCGGCAGGCCUAACACAUGCAAGUCGAACGGUAACAGGAAGCAGCUUGCUGCUUUGCUGACGAGUGGCGGACGGGUGAGUAAUGUCUGGGAAACUGCCCGAUGGAGGGGGAUAACUACUGGAAACGGUAGCUAAUACCGCAUAAUGUCGCAAGACCAAAGAGGGGGACCUUCGGGCCUCUUGCCAUCGGAUGUGCCCAGAUGGGAUUAGCUAGUUGGUGAGGUAACGGCUCACCAAGGCGACGAUCCCUAGCUGGUCUGAGAGGAUGACCAGCCACACUGGAACUGAGACACGGUCCAGACUCCUACGGGAGGCAGCAGUGGGGAAUAUUGCACAAUGGGCGCAAGCCUGAUGCAGCCAUGCCGCGUGUAUGAAGAAGGCCUUCGGGUUGUAAAGUACUUUCAGCGGGGAGGAAGGGGUUAAGGUUAAUAACCUUAGCCAUUGACGUUACCCGCAGAAGAAGCACCGGCUAACUCCGUGCCAGCAGCCGCGGUAAUAC